UCUUAUGGAUGAGCAAAGAAAAUGGUUUCUUGAGAUGGAAUCCGUUCCUGGUAAAGAUGCUGUGAA
rnacentral:pre_miRNA from 1 species